GCAAAAAAAAAAAAAAAAACAAGCAGCAAUAAAAGACCAUUAAAGAAAUCAAAAACAAAAACCCCCAACCAUACCCUAGAAAACCAAAACAACAGAGGAAAACCAGACGAAAUCUCCCCAAAUACUGACCCAACACACCUGUAUGAGAUUGAAACGAUUGAUUUCAGAGAGAAAAAACUUUGGUGACCUUCAUGGAGUACGAAAUAGAGUUUCUCCAUACCACAAAGCCAUUUAACCCAGUCCUCAGCCACAGUCCGAUCCACCACCUCCGGGGCUUCUUCAACCCAGUACAUGGGCUCUUGGUACCGACGACCUUUGCUCGCGAGCACAUACGCCGCCACGUUAGCUUUUCUACGAACAAAACAAAAGCGAGUCUCCUUCAAAAUGGACAUCCUGGAAUGUCAUCUCUUCUGCAAAGGUGAUCGCUCUUUCACACACGCAGGCCUCUGCUAAAAACGCAUUCGCUACAUCAAGGUGAGGGUAAGUACAUGCUCCCAUAAUCUGACCCGAUUCAUUUCUAGCAAUAAUCCCAGAGAUAGAUACGUUGCUUGCUACAUGAAACAAUGCAUCCAAAAUUAUUUUUAUGCUGCCCCUUUUUGGAGGCCUCCACAAUUCCUUCAUAGUAGUCUGGACUGGUAAUCUUAGGCCCAAAUGGCCUCAAUUUCCAGAACAUACCCCUAGACAAAACCCACCAAUUCAUGAAUUGUCCACUUUAUCCCCUCGUGAACCAGUCAAUUACGCAUGUACCAAAUAGCCCAAUAAGAUGUGACCAUUAGUUUCCUGGUUUUGUUAUCUGCAUUAAUAAACACCUGGCCUAACCAUUCUUUGUAAUAUGAGGGCACCAUCGUUGGAGUCACCGCAAUCUUUAGAUGCAUCCAUAACUGCUGCAGGAUAUGUCAGGACCGUACCAGAUGCUCAGCAGUCUCCUCCGCGUCCUUACACAGUGGACAAACACCUUCAACUGACAGUUUUCUUUUAGCUAGGGUCUCAAAAGUAGGCAAAUAGUUGUUAUGUAAUUUCCACACGUAGAUUUUCACCUUUGUUGGAAGUUGUAGUGCCUACAUUUUCUUGUAAAAUUUUGUAAUUGUAGCAGUGUCAUAUGGGUAAACACCCAUACUAUGUAAUUCAUCCUCAAGGAGGAGUUUUAACCCACUCUUGAUUGAGUAUUCACCAGACCCUUCAUACCUCCGCACCACUGUUUCUGGAAGCCUUGAAAAAGUUAAAAAGGAAUUUUGAGGACCCUCUCAGCUUGAUCCGAUCCAAGCAGCAUGCAAAUCCUAUCUUCAUUCCAGGCAGCCAUGAAUCAUUCCGUAUGUUCACUCGCUCCCCACUCCGAAUGCUCCUCUAGGUAAGAGAUGGGGAAGCACCUAUUUUUGUAGACAUAAAAUCUGUUUGUGGAAAAUAUCUGGCUUUAAACACCUUCGCUAAUAAACAAGUGGGCUCGGUUAAUAUA